UGUAGGCAGCCAUCAUUCUAUAUAACGGCUCAUUCCUGGCAUAAUUUUGAACCCUGUUCGACAAGUGGAAUGGCCUUACCCUCCUUAGAUCGGCUCUACCUUCGUACCUCGUCAAUUGGCUGCAUAAGUACGGUGCACUAUAUUUCCCUGAGUCCAGAUCCUUUAGAAAUAGGACGUCGAUCUGCAUUCUACGGUCUCCAAGGCUCCCACUAGCAUGCAUAAAGACCGAUAGUCAGGCAUUUCGUCUCUUCAUCCAAGAUUGCGCAGCGCAAGCCGUACAAACUUUUUCUGUACUCGUUCAAUCCGGUUAAUAUGUACAUUAUAGUACGGCCGCCAAACCACGCUAGCAUACUCAAUCCUUGUGCGGACCAGUCCGUUGUAUAUUGCAACAAUUGUUUAGGGAUCAUUCAGUUCACGGCCAAAACGUUUUACCAUACCAAAUUGUGAGUUUGCUUUCGUCACUACCUUCUCGAUGUGUCUUCUAAAGGUUAACUCGCUGUCCAAUUCUACACCUAAGUCACAAUGGCAGGUUGUUCUUUUAACUACAUCUGUAUCUAAGCUGUAGUCGUAAGCGAUUUUGUUGGUUUUACGACCAAAUGACACUACGCAACAUUUAGAGACGUUGACGUUUAGACCAAACAUUUGGCAAGAAACAAGAAAGCGGCACAAAUUGUUCUGAAGCGUCACACAAUCCUUCGGGCAUCGUAUUGGCAUGAAAAUCUUUACAUCAUCCGCAUAUAUUAGUAUGAAAACGUCAGUAAGCAGACCCGGGAGUUCAUUCAUGACAAUAAUGAACAGCAGAGGACCCAAAUGGCUUCCCUGAGGCACCCCCGAGCUAGAUACAAACGAUUUCGAAUUUGUCUUAUGAAGUCUAACGUAUUGCAGCCGGCCAGACAAAUAAGAAUGUAUCCAUUUGAAACAUACUCCAUUAAAACCAUACUUUCUUAGCACAGCAAUAAUCGCAUCUAUGUUGACCAAGUCAAAUGCUUUAGACAUGUCUGUAUAUAUUGUAUCAACCUGGUAGCCUUCUGUCAUCCAGUGUAUUGUCUUAGAUACAAAUUCCACUAAAUUUGUCACGGUGGAGCGUUUUCUCAAAAAUCCGUGCUGGCAACUGAGGAUUUGUGGUUCAAUCCACUUAUAUGCAUGUUCGUAAAAAAUGCUUUCAAACAUCUUUGGUAUCUUUGGCUUGGAGCGGGGGCCUAGUGUGGUUGGUAACGUCUCCGCCAACCACGCUCGACGCCUGGGUUCAAAUCCCACCGCCGACAUAGGUGUCGAUGGUUGUGAGGUGGCGUGAUCCACUCACAACCAACCCAACUGGUCUAGAUUCAAUCCUAGCCGACACCGGGAGAUUUUCUGAGGCGAAAAAAUUUCUGGGAUCACGCCUUCCAUCGCAUAAGGAAGUAAAGACGUUGGCGCCGGUCCGUUAAUAAACGGGUCGUGAGUUAGGGUCCUGGGUGUGGAGUCGCCUCCCUGGGUGUCGGUGAUUGGCCACAACAGUGGCGGAACUAGACCGACGGAAAAUAAGUGAGAAAAAAAAAUCUUUGGUAUUGCUGAAAGGAUAGCUACGCCUCUAUAAUUUGCGACUGAUAUUUUCGAACCAUUCUUAUGGUUGGGAACAAUAUGCGAUAUCUUCCAGAUUUUCGGGAAAAUUUCUUACGUUAAAGAUGCAUUGAAGAGCGUGAGAAGCGGAAGCAAAAAACCAUCCACACAGCUUCGCAACAAUGAAUUCGGUAUACCGUCCGGUCCCGAUCCCUUAGAUACAUCCAGCGACAAUAUUUUCUCACGAAUUGUUUCCAUAGAUACGGCUAGAAUGGGCAUACUAGAUUCGGAGGACGCGAAUUGAGGCACAUUACCAGAAGCAUUAUGGUCAUAGACACUUUUGAAAUGCUCAGCAAACAAGUCAGAAGCAUCCUGAAUACAUUCACUUUUCUUAGAAUUAUAUACAACAUUCGUGAGAAUACCACUUUUUUUGCGCUUAUCGUUCACGAACUUCCAAAAAUGCUUAGGGUUUGACUGAAUGUUUCGUUGUAGCUCGUCCAUGUACAGCCGAUGCUGUGACCGGUGUCUAUCUUCAAAGGCGUUUCUGGUUUGCCUAUACGCAUUUUCAUCAACUUCUGACCUUGUUCGACGGAAUCUAUUAUAAAGCUUCUUUUUCUGUGUAAGCAGUGUUAUUGUUUCUUGAUCAAACCAUGCCGGAUAAUUGAACUUAGCUUUAACUUUUCGCAUUUUACAAUGACGCGCCAAUAUACCAUAAACCACAAAAUAGAAGACAACAACAUUGAAGUCAGUAUCUGUUUCCACCAAGCAGGCAUCAACAUCAAUUGCAUCAAAAAUGCAUUUUUUCUUUAGAGACUCUAACAUAGAAGCAACGCUGGGCAUACUACCUUCCAUGCUAAAUGCAUCAUCACAGACAAAAACGUUGUGCCAGUCUACAUGUAGUAAUUCUUCGGUUAUGUGUGCACUCACAAAUGAGUGUCCAAAACCAUUUUCUUUUGUGUUUCGACUGGUACAGGCAGCUCUCUCAUAUUAACGUCAAUUGACAUGGCAUUGUGGUGCACUUCAUUCCUAAUCACUGGAUCACUUACCUCGACCCGGCAGCACUCAUCGUCAGUGGUAAACAACAAAUCUAUAAAUCUAUUGUUUUGAUUCGGGAUGUCGCAAACUUGGAAAAACCCGCAAGCAGCCAUAGAAUCAACAAGGAGCUCUUCUUCUGGUUAACGGACAUCAAACAGUAAGAGAUCUACAAGUGACGAAUCGACUAUGUUUCGCAUGCUUUCAACGUACGAUGCAAAACGGCAAAAGUUCGAGUCGGGAGGAGGAUUCAAAAGCUACAUUGCUACAAAGCCGUUCAUUAACAGCAAUGAGAACACCGCCACCACUGCUCUUAUCGGAAUUGGUUGAGGAUCUAUCACAACGGUUAACUGCAAACGAUAUAGUAGUAUAUAUGCAAGUUAAUUUCGCUUUUCUUUUUGUUAUAACUCGUUUCUGUAACAGACGGCUCAGGCAAACGAGAGAUAAACACAUUGUGUCCUGUAGCGGGAAGCAUCGGCAUGGGUGAAAUCGAACUAGACUGUCGGAGGCUGCUCAUUGUUUGGUUGUUCGUUGUUUGGCUGGACUGGCGGAGGGACACGAAACGGCUUCGGUUGGCCAGCACGGGUAAA